rnacentral:rRNA from 1 species
GUGGGGAAUAUUGGACAAUGGGCGCAAGCCUGAUCCAGCCAUGCCGCGUGAGUGAUGAAGGCCCUAGGGUUGUAAAGCUCUUUCGCCAGGGACGAUAAUGACGGUACCUGGAUAAGAAGCCCCGGCUAACUUCGUGCCAGCAGCCGCGGUAAUACGAAGGGGGCUAGCGUUGUUCGGAAUCACUGGGCGUAAAGCGCACGUAGGCGGAUCUUUAAGUCAGGGGUGAAAUCCCGAGGCUCAACCUCGGAACUGCCUUUGAUACUGGGGAUCUCGAGUCCGGGAGAGGUGAGUGGAACUGCGAGUGUAGAGGUGAAAUUCGUAGAUAUUCGCAAGAACACCAGUGGCGAAGGCGGCUCACUGGCCCGGUACUGACGCUGAGGUGCGAAAGCGUGGGGAGCAAACAGGAUUAGAAACCCGUGUAGUCC